UAAAUAAAUAAAUAAAUAAAUAAAAAUGGGGGUGAUACUGACAAGAUUAGCAUGGCCCCUUAUGCAAGGAUGACAUGCAAAUUUUGAAGCUUCCCAUAUUUUU
rnacentral:snRNA from 2 species